rnacentral:tRNA from 1 species
CGGGAUGUGGCGCAGCUUGGUCAGCGCACCGGUUUCGGGAACCGGGGGCCGCGGGUUCGAAUCCCGCCAUCCCGA